UUUUACAAUGGAGAGUUUGAUCCUGGCUCAGGAUGAACGCUAGCGGCAGGCCUAAUACAUGCAAGUC
rnacentral:rRNA from 1 species